GAUCCAAAAGAGAAUGACCUCUGUCAAGAAGUUGUGGCACUAUAUUGUCUAGGGGAGAUAAUCGAUAAUAAAAGAACGUUUGGAUCAGAAGCCAAAAACCCAAAGCCGAAAUUCUCAUUCAUGGCACCUUCUCCUAUGUACACUGACACUACAUGCUUGGAGGUAGAACACAAAUGAUCAACAGGAACACCAUUGUACGGAUCCACUUGUGGGAGGAGAAUGGUGGAGGAUAUUUUCACCAGCUGCAUUUGAACAUAGAAGAGAGAAAUAGAUCAGGAGGGAGACGGUCCCGCCUACCGGCCGAAUUCUCAAGUGUGCCAAUACCAGGGGAGAAAAUGAGUGUGAGACUGAGAGUCGGAAUAUUUUAGCACUUACGGAUCAUAUCAAUUUUCAAAGCUAGGAUCAUACAAAAAAAGGAGUCGUAACUGAGCUAUACACUCCUAGGAAAUGGUCCGCCUCAAACAAAUUGAUCACCUUAAAGGAUCAUUGCUUCUGUUAGUCUUCCAUAGUUGUAUUUAGCAAAAAGUAUGAUUGUGUUUAUCUUUCAACGUUUUCAUUUUUUGAAACAUAACUAUGAUACUAAAAAUGUUUGUACAAGUAGUUGUUUCUAAAUAAUUAUUAGUAUAAAACAGCGGUGGAUAUGAAACUAUUUUACUAAAUUCUU